rnacentral:rRNA from 1 species
GAUGAACGCUGGCGGCGUGCCUAAUACAUGCAAGUCGAGCGAACAGACGAGGAGCUUGCUCCUCUGACGUUGGCGGCGGACGGGUGAGUAACACGUGGAUAACCUACCUAUAAGACUAGGAUAACUUCGGGAAACCGGAGCUAAUACCGGAUAAUAUAUUGAACCGCAUGGUUCAAUAGUGAAAGACGGUUUUGCUGUCACUUAUAGAUGGAUCCGCGCCGCAUUAGCUAGUUGGUAAGGUAACGGCUUACCAAGGCAACGAUGCGUAGCCGACCUGAGAGGGUGAUCGGCCACACUGGAACUGAGACACGGUCCAGACUCCUACGGGAGGCAGCAGUAGGGAAUCUUCCGCAAUGGGCGAAAGCUUGACGGAGCAACGCCGCGUGAGUGAUGAAGGUCUUCGGAUCGUAAAACUCUGUUAUUAGGGAAGAACAAAUGUGUAAGUAACUAUGCACGUCUUGACGGUACCUAAUCAGAAAGCCACGGCUAACUACGUG